UGACCCAAGAUGGAGAAUGAGCUUGUUG
rnacentral:piRNA from 1 species